CCGAAGCAGAAGAACGCGAAGGAGAAAGAAGAGAAAGAAGAAAAUAAGAAAGAAAAAGAUUUAGCCGUCCGAUUUCGAUUUCGACUUCGGUGUACGUUGGAAGAGAUUUGGGUGAAAUUGCGAAAGCUAGGAAGUGUCGAUAAGAGGUAUGCAUGGCACAUCCGAGACAGGGGACGUCUUGGGAUAUAGAAAGACGGGCUGAGUGAGUAAACCGUAUAUUGUAUUAUAUGUAAAUUUUUAACCGGAAUAACCUCUUGUUAAGGGGUGUGUUUUGUAAAUAUUUAUAAAUCAGAUUCUUUUAUAUAAUA